AUGAAAACAGAAAUUCAGAUUUUAAUUAACCCAGUGAAUUUGCCUGAAAAUAUGCUUCCUGGAACACAGCUAAGUCGUGCUUAUGAUAAAGAUGUGGCUGGAAAGGGAGAUGUCUACCGUUUUCUGAAUAAAACAAAAGAUUUUGUCAUCGAUGCAAGUUCUGGUGCCAUCACUGCUACCAAAAUUUUUAAUUAUGAAACAGAUCCAAUAAGGUUUCUUCUGAUAGUUGAUACUAGGCUCUCUAGACAUGUUUUGACCAUUAUUAUUAUUGAUGUUCCUGAAUCUCCAAACUGUACUGCUGAUCCCAAAUUUUCUUCAGGCACAGCUACCUUAGAAAUUGAUGAGGACUAUCCAUUAUUUCAGUUCAUUUAUAGAGUGACGGCCACAGAUAAGGACUUCGCAAAUGGUGAUUGGCUGAAUUACACCAUUGAGACACAGUUAUCUGGACCAAAGAAAGGAGCAAACUCUUUUGGAGUGGAUCCUAUAAGUGGUGUUGUUAGUGUAAGAGGUGAAGAUCCCCUGGAUUUUGAUGCUGGAUAUCAUUUAUAUUAUCUGAACAACUUAAGGCCAUUUCCUUUGGAUUCUAUUAAUGUGACUGAGAAGAAAUGUGUUGGAGAAAUUAUAGCAAGAGUAAAAGCAACAGAUCGAGAUGAAGAUAGCAGUAUCAUUUAUUCCUUUAAGACUCAGCAGAAAAUGUUUGGUUUGGACCCCUCCACAGGAACAAUCACUCUUCUUCAGCCUUUGAAUCUUGACAACCCAAGUAACUCCAAAAUCUACUCUUUGGAAAUUGAGGCAACAGAUAAUGGGAAUAAUACCAGCAGCUAUAUGUUUACAGUUUUUGUGGAGAAUGUAGAUGAUCCUAUUUCCUGUGAUCCAAGUUUUUCUACAGGAACAGGUGUUUCAGUGUCUGUUCCUGAAAAUAUUCCUGCAUCUACUUUUAUAUAUAUGAUUCUUUCAAGAGAUCCACAUCUAGGACAGGAAGUUGAAUUAAUGCCACUGCCUACUUUGCUUUGGAUUCACGUAAUGGUGUCAUUUCUAAAACCAUUGAACCUCUUUUGGACUAUGAAACAAAUCCUAAGGUCGGCAAAGCCUGAGUCCUGUGCAGGCGCCGGGGGCUCUGGUUCCUGGAUCUCCGUGUACCGCUCCACCAGCUUCCGGGGCGGCAUGGGGUCCGGGGGCCUGGCCUCAGGGAUGGCCGGGGGUCUGGCAGGAAUGGGAGGCAUCCAGAACGAGAAGGAGACCAUGCAAAGCCUGAACGACCGCCUGGCCUCUUACCUGGACAGAGUGAGGAGCCUGGAGACCGAGAACUGGAGGCUGGAGAGCAAAAUCCGGGAGCACUUGGAGAAGAAGGGACCCCAGGUCAGAGACUGGAGCCAUUACUUUAAGAUCAUCGAGGACCUGAGGGCUCAGAUCUUCGCAAAUACUGUGGACAAUGCCCGCAUCGUUCUGCAGAUUGACAAUGCCCCUCUUGCUGCUGAUGACUUUAGAGUCAAGUAUGAGACCGAGCUGGCCAUGCGCCAGUCUGUGGAGAACGACAUCCAUGGGCUCUGCACGGUCAUUGAUGACACCAAUGUCACUCGACUGCAGCUAGAGACAGAUCGAGGCUCUCAAGGAGGAGCUGCUCUUCAUGAAGAAGAACCAUGAGGAGGAAGUAAAAGGCCUACAAGCCCAGAUUGCCAGCUCUGGGUUGACCGUGGAGGUAGAUGCCCCCAAAUCUCAGGACCUCGCCAAGCUCAUGGCAGACAUCCGGGCCCAAUAUGACGAGCUGGCUCGGAAGAACCGAGAGGAGCUAGACAAGUACUGGUCUCAGCAGAUUGAGGAGAGCACCACAGUGGUCACCACACAGUCUGCGGAGGUUGGAGCUCUGAGACGACGCUCACAGAGCUGAGACGUACAGUCCAGUCAUUGGAGAUCGACCUGGACUCCAUGAGAAAUCUGAAGGCCAGCUUGGAGAACAGCCUGAGGGAGGUGGAGGCCCGCUAUGCCCUACAGAUGGAGCAGCUCAAUGGGAUCCUGCUGCACCUGGAGUCAGAGCUGGCACAGACCCGGGCAGAGGGCCAGCGACAGGCCCAGGAGUAUGAGGCCCUGCUGAACAUCAAGGUCAAGCUGGAAGCUGAGAUCGCCACCUACCGCCGCCUGCUGGAAGAUGGCGAGGAAUUCAAUCUUGGUGAUGCCUUGGACAGCAACAACUCCAUGCAAACCAUCCAAAAGACCACCAUCCGCCGGAUAGUGGAUGGCAAAGUGGUGUCUGAGACCAAGGACACCAAAGUUCUGAGGCAUUAAGCCAGCAGAAGCAGGAUACCCUUUGGGGAGCAGGAGGCCAAUAAAAAGUUCAGAGUU